UGGGGAAUAUUGGACAAUGGGCGCAAGCCUGAUCCAGCCAUGCCGCGUGAGUGAUGAAGGCCCUAGGGUUGUAAAGCUCUUUUAACGGGGAAGAUGAUGACGGUACCCGUAGAAUAAGCCCCGGCUAACUUCGUGCCAGCAGCCGCGGUAAUACGAAGGGGGCUAGCGUUGCUCGGAAUCACUGGGCGUAAAGGGUGCGUAGGUGGAUCUUUAAGUCAGGGGUGAAAUCCUGGAGCUCAACUCCAGAACUGCCUUUGAUACUGAGGAUCUUGAGUUCGGGAGAGGUAAGUGGAACUGCGAGUGUAGAGGUGAAAUUCGUAGAUAUUCGCAAGAACACCAGUGGCGAAGGCGGCUUACUGGCCCGAUACUGACACUGAGGCACGAAAGCGUGGGGAGCAAACA
rnacentral:rRNA from 1 species